rnacentral:rRNA from 1 species
AGCGAACGCUGGCGGCAGGCCUAACACAUGCAAGUCGAACGAAGUCUUCGGACUUAGUGGCGGACGGGUGAGUAACACGUGGGAACGUACCUUUUGGUUCGGAACAACUCGGGGAAACUUGAGCUAAUACCGGAUGAGCCCUUAGGGGGAAAGAUUUAUCGCCGAAAGAGCGGCCCGCGUUAGAUUAGCUAGUUGGUGAGGUAAAGGCUCACCAAGGCUACGAUCUAUAGCUGGUCUGAGAGGAUGAUCAGCCACACUGGGACUGAGACACAGCCCAGACUCCUACGGGAGGCAGCAGUGGGGAAUCUUGCGCAAUGGGCGAAAGUCUGACGCAGCCAUGCCGCGUGAAUGAUGAAGGUCUUAGGAUUGUAAAAUUCUUUUACCAGGGACGAUAAUGACGGUACCUGGAGAAAAAGCCCCGGCUAACUUCGUGCCAGCAGCCGCGGUAAAAC